rnacentral:rRNA from 1 species
CAGCAGCCGCGGUAAUGCGAAGGGGGCUAGCGUUGCUCGGAAUGACUGGGCGUAAAGGGCGCGUAGGCGGUUUUGACAGUCAGAUGUGAAAUUCCUGGGCUUAACCUGGGGGCUGCAUUUGAGACGUCAAGACUAGAGUGUGAGAGAGGGUUGUGGAAUUCCCAGUGUAGAGGUGAAAUGCGUAGAUAUCGGAGGGAACACCUGUGGCGAAAGCGGCUCACUGGACAAUAACUGACGCUGAUGCACGAAAGCGUGGGGAGCAAACAGGAUUAGAUACCCCAGUAGUCCCUGUCUCUUAUAC